rnacentral:rRNA from 1 species
AUUGAACGCUGGCGGCAUGCCUUACACAUGCAAGUCGAACGGCAGCACGGGAGCAAUCCUGGUGGCGAGUGGCGAACGGGUGAGUAAAGUAUCGGAACGUGCCCAGUCGUGGGGGAUAACGUAGCGAAAGUUACGCUAAUACCGCAUACGAUCUACGGAUGAAAGCGGGGGAUCGCAAGACCUCGCGCGAUUGGAGCGGCUGAUAUCAGAUUGGGGAGUUGGUGGGGUAAAGGCUCACCAAGCCGACGAUCUGUAGCUGGUCUGAGAGGACGACCAGCCACACUGGGACUGAGACGCGGCCCAGACUCCUACGGGAGGCAGCAGUGGGGAAUUUUGGACAAUGGGCGCAAGCCUGAUCCAGCCAUGCCGCGUGCAGGAUGAAGGCCUUCGGGUUGUAAACUGCUUUUGUACGGAACGAAAAGGUUUGGCCUAAUAAGCUGGACCCAUGACGGUACCGUAAGAAUAAGCACCGGCUAACUACGUGCCAGCCGCCGCCGUAA